UCUGAUCUCGGCUGCCUUGGCCAGGACUCCGUCAUCCAUUUCUAUGACGUCUGUGUCUCCAGGAGAUGACCAACAUAUAAAGCAAGAAUGCUUAAGCAGGAUUCAGCUCCGCUCCAGCCACCAGCCACCUGCCACCGAGCCACACCACCCGCCUACCACUUCUCCAGCUGCUACCCUCGUGAGCCUUCCUUCCUCCUUGACCAGCCCCAGCUUCCAGAGACACCACCUCUCCCUGCUUCCCUAAAGGACUAAAUAAACUGUUGAUUGCACCUUUUUCCCACGCCUGGUUCUCUGCACUUGGGGUCCAGCUCCUUGCUCAUAACACAUCUUCUGCAUCUGUCCUAGGGUUUCACCUAAUGGACACCGAAGACUUAGACCUAGACUUAGACUUAGACAACUUUAUUGUCAUUUUGUAUGUACAGAGUGCAUACAGAACGAAAUUCCGUUGCAUACAGCUUACGACAGUGUAUUGGGAUUUCAAACACAAUGUCAAGUGCAGCAGUGAUCAGAUGUAACAAUGCAGGUGAAAAAAGUGUGCAAGAACAGUGUGCAGAGAAUUGUUCAACCAUUGUUUAUGUGCAAAAAUAAUUUGUAUGCAAAAGUGUUGCGCAGUGCACACAAUAUGUGCGAGAAAAUGCAGUAAAUGUUGAGUUGUGUACUAUUUAAAUAAAUAAACGUUUGGCAACAUUGGUAGUGCCAAAUAAAGAUGCAAAUGUG